AACGAACGCUGGCGGCAGGCCUAACACAUGCAAGUCGAGCGCCCCGCAAGGGGAGCGGCGGACGGGUGAGUAACGCGUGGGAACGUACCCUUUGCUACGGAAUAGCCUCGGGAAACUGGGAGUAAUACCGUAUGUGCCCUUCGGGGGAAAGAUUUAUCGGCAAAGGAUCGGCCCGCGUUGGAUUAGGUAGUUGGUGGGGUAAUGGCCUACCAAGCCGACGAUCCAUAGCUGGUUUGAGAGGAUGAUCAGCCACACUGGGACUGAGACACGGCCCAGACUCCUACGGGAGGCAGCAGUGGGGGAAUCUUAGACAAUGGGCGCAAGCCUGAUCUAGCCAUGCCGCGUGAGCGAUGAAGGCCUUAGGGUUGUAAAGCUCUUUCAGUGGGGAAGAUAAUGACUGUACCCACAGAAGAAGCCCGGCUAACUCCGUGCCAGCAGCCGCGGU
rnacentral:rRNA from 1 species